AUACUUACCUGGCAGCAGAGAUACCAUGAUCACAGGACGAGGCUUAUCCAUUGCACUCCGGAUGUGCUGGCCCCUUAGAUUUCCCCAAAUGUGGGAAACCCGACUGCAUAAUUUGUGGCAGCAGGGGACUGCAUUCGCGCUCUCCCCUG
rnacentral:snRNA from 1 species